UACGUAGGGGGCAAGCGUUGUCCGGAUUUAUUGGGCGUAAAGAGCGUGUAGGCGGCCAGGUAGGUCAGCUGUGAAAACUCGAGGCUCAACCUCGAGACGCCGGUUGAAACCAUUUGGCUAGAGUCCGGAAGAGGAGAGUGGAAUUCCUGGUGUAGCGGCGAAAUGCGCAGAUAUCAGGAAGAACACCCGUGGCUAAGGCGGCUCUCUAGUACGGUACUGACGCUGAGACGCGAAAGCGUGGGGAGCGAACAGG
rnacentral:rRNA from 1 species